AGGAUGCGUGGUGGGGGAAUUCAUGUGGAGGUCAGAGUGGAAGCAGGUGUGAGAGGGUCCAGCAGAAGAAAACAUGGCUGCCAAAGUGUUUGAGUCCAUUGGCAAGUUUGGCCUGGCCUUAGCUGUUGCAGGAGGCGUGGUGAACUCUGCCUUAUAUAAUGUGGAUGCUGGGCACAGAGCUGUCAUCUUUGACCGGUUCCGUGGAGUACAGGACAUUGUGGUAGGGGAAGGGACUCACUUUCUCAUCCCAUGGGUACAGAAACCAAUUAUCUUUGACUGCCGUUCUCGACCACGUAAUGUGCCGGUCAUCACUGGUAGCAAAGAUUUACAGAAUGUCAACAUCACACUGCGCAUCCUCUUCCGGCCCGUCGCUAGCCAGCUUCCUCGCAUCUUCACCAGCAUCGGAGAGGACUAUGAUGAGCGUGUGCUGCCGUCCAUCACGACCGAGAUCCUCAAGUCAGUGGUGGCUCGCUUUGAUGCUGGAGAACUAAUCACCCAGAGAGAGCUGGUCUCCAGGCAGGUGAGCGACGAUCUUACAGAGCGAGCAGCCACCUUUGGGCUCAUCCUGGAUGACGUGUCCUUGACACAUCUGACCUUCGGGAAGGAGUUCACAGAAGCGGUGGAAGCCAAACAGGUGGCUCAGCAGGAAGCAGAGAGGGCCAGAUUUGUGGUGGAAAAGGCUGAGCAGCAAAAAAAGGCAGCCAUCAUCUCUGCUGAGGGUGAUUCCAAGACGGCUGAGCUGAUUGCCAACUCACUGGCCACUGCAGGGGACGGCCUGAUCGAGCUGCGCAAGCUGGAAGCCGCGGAGGACAUCGCAUACCAGCUCUCACGUUCUCGGAACAUCACCUACCUGCCGGCGGGGCAGUCUGUGCUCCUCCAGCUGCCCCAGUGAGGGCCCACCCUGCCUGCACUUCUGCGGGCUGACUGGGCCACAGCCCAGAUGAUUCUUAACACCGCCUUCCUUCUGCCCCCACCCCAGAAAUCACUGUGAAAUUUCAUGAUUGGCUUAAAGUGAAGGAAAUAAAGGUAAAAUCACUUCAGAAAAAAAAAAAAAAAAAAAAA